rnacentral:siRNA from 1 species
CCAUAUCGCUACGUAAUGUCUG